UUGAAAACUUAUUUGUAGAGAAUUUUUUCUGAAAAUUUUUGGGAAACACAAACCAAACAAGGCCAAUAUUUUCUGUAGGCAUUUUUCUUUUGGUUUCUUAUUCUAUUUUAAUUUUCCAGUUUCUAAUAUCUUCAUUGAAGUGACACACCUUCCUUUAUAAUCUGCUAAUCGAUCAUUAUUGAUAGGCUAUAUCUUUGGGAACCACUACAGUAUUCUGAUUUAUUAGCACCAAAUCAUGUAGAAUUAGGCAAUGUUUUGAAAUUUCAUCAGGACAUAUGUUUGGUCAAUGGACUCAGUCGGUUCAUACUGGGUUAACUGACAGCAAGAAAUAGAUCAAUUAUCAAGUAACUUGGGGAGGAGCCACUCUCUUUAAGGAACUACUUAUGGUCUCUUCAAAACUGUCUUAAACAUGAACUGUUGAAUGCUCUCUGAACCAACUUAACAGUUGUCAUGUAUCCUGUACAAUGCGAUGUUUUGAAAAUUGAUUUAGGACAUAUGUUUGGUCAAUGGACUCGGUUGGUUCAUACUGGGUAAACCGACAGCAAGAAAUGGAUCAAUUAUCAGUUAACUUGGGCAGGAGCAACUCUUUUAAGAAACUAAUACGUUUUCUUUAGAACUGUCUUUAACAUGAACUGUUGAAGUAAAACAAAGCUUUAAGAAAGAUUCAAUAAUAAUUUCAUGAAUUCAUUGGUUUAAUUUUUCAUUCUUGCAUUUAAUCUCCAAGAUCCAAACCAGCUAAGAAAAACUUGUGUGGAGCUGAAUGGGGAUAUUAAACACCAGGUUCCAUACUCUCUCUCCCGGCGUCUCUUUAUUAACUACUGUUUUUUCUCCUGUUGCCUAUCUGUUGCCCACCUGGGGAGGGGCUGGGGGUUAGGGUACAGUGAAACAAGGGGUUCUUAAAACCUCAAGCCAAUAGAGAGCAGGACAAAAACCUCCUGGACAGAGACACCAAACCAGCCAAUAUGGUCAUGGUCAGCAUACGCAGCCUUUUGCUAACCCCAGGAAAAUGAGCCAAGACAAAUAUCUGAUCGAAGAGUGUGAACCACAUGCAAGUUGUGGAUGCGGACCAAAUAGAAUGGUAAACCCGUAGUGAAGCGGUUAAUAUACAUUUUAAUAAGUAAGACAAUUUUAAUAAAAGAAACAUCAAAAGCAGAUUGUGCCCAAAUUAAAAAAAGGUUAAACUGUGACAACCUUGGCUACACUGACAAAAGAUGCCUAGACUCUCAAAAGACUAAAGGUCUAUAGAUUCUUAUAAGUGAAAAGAAUCCACAAAAUGUACAAACGGUCGAGGUUUGGGAGAUCCUUCCCCGACAUCCAUCCAGACAAAAUAGACUAUACAAACUCUUAAAAGCCUAUGCAAAGGCUCCUCUACAGCUCAAAAAGUCCUCUUGUUUCGUUCCCUCACCAAAGCCACAUUAAACACAAAGCAGCUAGCCACCAUGCCACACCAUCUGCCUUUUGGCGUCGUUUCCCUUCCCUACCUUCCCACCACCUCAGCAUUACCCCUACCACAUCCCUAUGAAACAUCCACUCCAUCCCGAACACUGCUAAAAUCAACCCCCACAAUUCCUUUGGCCAUAUUGUACUGAAUUAGCAAAUGAAAAACUUAUUCACUAUCACACUUAGAGAGGACUUGUCGCCCCCUAAUUAAGUUAUCAUUUGUAAUUCUCAUGGGCUGUAUUCGACAUAUAAAAGCAACCUUCGAUGGAGCCCCAAAGGUCCAAAUGCCUUCGAAAGGGAAGGAGAAGGAAAAGGAUACUUUGUGGUAGGGUCAAGAGUACACUUUCUUGGUAUUGUGUAUAUGACAAGGUUUUCGCAACAAGUUUCAGUUUCGAGUUUUGUAAUAUCAACAAGAAGUAGAGAUCAUGCGAAUAAUCUUUGAUCCAAUAUGAUGUAGUGUUAUACUCUUUAUUUCUUCGUUCAAUUGUGGAAUCCUUACGUUAUUUGAUGAGAGCCUACUGCGUAAGCUAUUGUUUGCUACCCUUCCUUAUAAAAGACCCAUAUUACAUAGGCUUGGGUAUGGGUGUCAAGUACGGAUAUGUUUCCAAGUAUCAGAUUCAUCUAAUUUUCUUGUCUACGGACACCAAUAUAUAACUAAAUUUCUUAUUUCUUACGUACUUAGUUUUAUUUUUAAGAAUAAAAUGGUGUUUACAAACUAACAAGAGUAUUUUGUAGACAAAAUGGGAGUUCUAUGCAAAGUAAUGAUGCAAACUAGACUAUUAAGGCAUACUUAAUGGGUGCAUCUCUAACUAGACAUGCCGAUCACAUAUUUGAUAUCCUUACUUAUGCGUCGAGUGUCUGACACAGGUAUUUCUCAAAUUUGGAAGUCCAUGUAACAUAGUAAACGGCCAUACAAUCCAUUAACUUGCAGAAUAUCAUGUAUUUGAACCAAACCACUUUUUUUUUUUUGUUGCUUGUUUCUUUUUCUCGGUUGAACCUUCCACUGCUUUUUCUUGUACCCUUGAUUUGGAUUUCGUAAUUAUUUUUUGGUGUAAUUUGACUUGCCCUUAACUUUGUCUCGGUUGAUGCUAGCCUUAGUAUCUCACCAAUGGAUUUAUUUCUUAUAUUAUGUUUUCAGUUAGGUAAAUGAUCAAUCCAAGUUCUUAAAAUGUCUUAUUGCGAUGACAUCACAACAUCAAUUGUUUAAUUGUGUCUAUGGCGUUAGUUGCAAUGAUUGAUUUGUUUUGUUGGUAAGAACAUGAUAUAAUAAAAAGUUUUGGUAAGAAGGACAAAUUAUUAAUUUGAAGAUUUUUUAUUUCCAUUUUCACCCUUGCGUUGUUACAUCCUUAUACACAACCACCAUUGGACUGUCACCGAAAAAUUCGUUAGCGUUGGAAAAGUCGCCGGUGAUGGCUAAAAAAGUUGCUAAUGGUGGUGGUGAUGAUUUAGAUAGAUAAGCAGAUUAGGUGGGCACAUAGGUGGAUACAUGAGUGACACGUGGACAGAUAGAUGAAUAAAUGGGUGACACAUGGACAGAUAAAUGACAUUUGGAUAGAUAGGUGACCUAUGGACAAAUAGAUGACAAUUGAGCAAAUAGGGGUAAUCUGGUCUCUCACAUUGUUGUUGUAAUAUGGUCUUUCACAUUGUUGUUGUCCUUAUGGCCCCAUAAGUUUUAACCUUAGGCUCAACAUAUCUAGAAAUGGUCCUCUGGGCUGAGUCCCCUUGUUUUAUUCUAGUAGCACAAAACCAAAAUAACCAAACCAAACCAAAAAUUUGUUUCCCAACCAAUUGGAGUCGGUUACAUGAAUAAUUUUCUGCCAUUCCGCUUUAUCAAGGGCUAUAUACUCAGUUCAAUUUAAUAAAUUCAUAUCUCUUACUACAACAUCUCAUAUUAGUUUAGGUCUCCCCUUCCCUCUAGUAUUUAUAUUCAUAGUGAUUAUCUUAUUUUUCCUUACCGUUAUAUCUACUAGUACUCAUUGUAAAUGACCAAUGCAUCGUAGUCUGUUCUUUCUUGUGGUACUCCAACCAUUUCACAAAUGUAUUCGUUUUUAAUGCUUUCUUUCUCGAUCUUACCAAUUGCCAACUAUUCAUCUUAGCAUGCUCAUAGUAGCUACACUCAUUUGAUUAAUGUGUUGUUUCUUAAUUUUCCAACAUUACAAAAAGUAUUCUUGACCUUAUAGAUGUUCUAUAAAAUUUUCCUUUCAAUUUUGUUAGAAUUGUUCAAUUGCAUGUGUCAUCAAAUGCCCUUACUUUAUUUUUGUCUAUUGAGCUUUGUAUUGGUAUUUUGCGAGUCUUACCUUUUGUUAAGAUUUCACAACACCUUCAAUUAAAUUCUUGUUUUGGAAUUUAGAGUGGUUGAAUACGAUCAAGAUGGAAGCAUACCCCCAUUAUCUUGUGCUUUCUACUUGGAGUUCAAGUUUAUUUAACUUAAAUUAGUCCGAACUUGGAUUGGGUCCUGUUUCUCAAUGGCUAAAACCAAUGGGUCUCACUUUUUGAUCUAGAACCUAAUAUGACUGUUGCAAACUUCCUAUCUCAAUGAGUUGUUUGAACAAAGUGUCAUGAAAAAGUGGAUUUUUGGAUUGUUUUCAACAACACCUGAAUCAAUCCUUGAUAAGAUUCAAAGCUUACAAGGUUGUAAAAUUGAGUUUUAUUUUCUAGGUCAGAUCCACUUCAUUACAGCCUUGUGUUGCAUACCUCAUGACAGCAAUUAUAAUAUUUUUUUUUCCCUUUAAAUUUCUUGAGUGUGACUUGACAUGGAUUAUUUCUAGCAUUGCCUGUUGAGCCAUAGGGUAUCAGUGUAUCACUUGACAUAUCAGAUCUCCAUCACCUAUGAAUGUCAUUGCUUAUCAUAUCUCUUGAAUCUGUAUUUUAUUCCUAAAUAUUUGUAAACAUUAGAAAUAGUA